AUGGCCUCCUCCUCAUGCCCUCGCCCUCAUCCUCCUACUCAAGAGGUCACCGUCGCCUCCCUCGCCCGCAGCCAUGAUCCGAUCUGGCAUUGGCGCCGCAAGACGCCCUCACGACGCAAGUCUCCUCUUGUCUCCUCUCUCAGGACAUCUCUCUCCCCCCGCGGCUCGCUGCCGCCGCCGCCACCGCCACCACUCACGACGGCCAAUUCCAGCGAGUACCGGCGGCGGGUAGCAGAUCAACGACCUCCCCUCGCCCCGCUCCUUCCUCCCAUCCCUCCAGAUCCGUCGCUAGGGGCCUCCCAUGCUCGCUCCGUCGACCUUGCCCACAUGGCAGAUCGCCGCUGCUGGCCGAGGCCGGCGUUCUACCGGUGA
rnacentral:rRNA from 1 species